rnacentral:rRNA from 1 species
GGUUAAGCGACUAAGCGUACACGGUGGAUGCCCUGGCAGUCAGAGGCGAUGAAGGACGUGCUAAUCUGCGAUAAGCGUCGGUAAGGUGAUAUGAACCGUUAUAACCGGCGAUUUCCGAAUGGGGAAACCCAGUGUGUUUCGACACACUAUCAUUAACUGAAUCCAUAGGUUAAUGAGGCGAACCGGGGGAACUGAAACAUCUAAGUACCCCGAGGAAAAGAAAUCAACCGAGAUUCCCCCAGUAGCGGCGAGCGAACGGGGAGCAGCCCAGAGCCUGAAUCAGUGUGUGUGUUAGUGGAAGCGUCUGGAAAGGCGUGCGAUACAGGGUGACAGCCCCGUACACAAAAAUGCACAUACUGUGAGCUCGAUGAGUAGGGCGGGACACGUGGUAUCCUGUCUGAAUAUGGGGGGACCAUCCUCCAAGGCUAAAUACUCCUGACUGACCGAUAGUGAACCAGUACCGUGAGGGAAAGGCGAAAAGAACCCCGGCGAGGGGAGUGAAAAAGAACCUGAAACCGUGUACGUACAAGCAGUGGGAGCCUCUUAAUGGGGUGACUGCGUACCUUUUGUAUAAUGGGUCAGCGACUUAUAUUCUGUAGCAAGGUUAACCGAAUAGGGGAGCCGAAGGGAAACCGAGUCUUAACUGGGCGUUAAGUUGCAGGGUAUAGACCCGAAACCCGGUGAUCUAGCCAUGGGCAGGUUGAAGGUUGGGUAACACUAACUGGAGGACCGAACCGACUAAUGUUGAAAAAUUAGCGGAUGACUUGUGGCUGGGGGUGAAAGGCCAAUCAAACCGGGAGAUAGCUGGUUCUCCCCGAAAGCUAUUUAGGUAGCGCCUCGUGAAUUCAUCUCCGGGGGUAGAGCACUGUUUCGGCAAGGGGGUCAUCCCGACUUACCAACCCGAUGCAAACUGCGAAUACCGGAGAAUGUUAUCACGGGAGACACACGGCGGGUGCUAACGUCCGUCGUGAAGAGGGAAACAACCCAGACCGCCAGCUAAGGUCCCAAAGUCAUGGUUAAGUGGGAAACGAUGUGGGAAGGCCCAGACAGCCAGGAUGUUGGCUUAGAAGCAGCCAUCAUUUAAAGAAAGCGUAAUAGCUCACUGGUCGAGUCGGCCUGCGCGGAAGAUGUAACGGGGCUAAACCAUGCACCGAAGCUGCGGCAGCGACACUAUGUGUUGUUGGGUAGGGGAGCGUUCUGUAAGCCUGCGAAGGUGUACUGUGAGGUAUGCUGGAGGUAUCAGAAGUGCGAAUGCUGACAUAAGUAACGAUAAAGCGGGUGAAAAGCCCGCUCGCCGGAAGACCAAGGGUUCCUGUCCAACGUUAAUCGGGGCAGGGUGAGUCGACCCCUAAGGCGAGGCCGAAAGGCGUAGUCGAUGGGAAACAGGUUAAUAUUCCUGUACUUGGUGUUACUGCGAAGGGGGGACGGAGAAGGCUAUGUUGGCCGGGCGACGGUUGUCCCGGUUUAAGCGUGUAGGCUGGUUUUCCAGGCAAAUCCGGAAAAUCAAGGCUGAGGCGUGAUGACGAGGCACUACGGUGCUGAAGCAACAAAUGCCCUGCUUCCAGGAAAAGCCUCUAAGCAUCAGGUAACAUCAAAUCGUACCCCAAACCGACACAGGUGGUCAGGUAGAGAAUACCAAGGCGCUUGAGAGAACUCGGGUGAAGGAACUAGGCAAAAUGGUGCCGUAACUUCGGGAGAAGGCACGCUGAUAUGUAGGUGAAGUCCCUUGCGGAUGGAGCUGAAAUCAGUCGAAGAUACCAGCUGGCUGCAACUGUUUAUUAAAAACACAGCACUGUGCAAACACGAAAGUGGACGUAUACGGUGUGACGCCUGCCCGGUGCCGGAAGGUUAAUUGAUGGGGUUAGCGGUAACGCGAAGCUCUUGAUCGAAGCCCCGGUAAACGGCGGCCGUAACUAUAACGGUCCUAAGGUAGCGAAAUUCCUUGUCGGGUAAGUUCCGACCUGCACGAAUGGCGUAAUGAUGGCCAGGCUGUCUCCACCCGAGACUCAGUGAAAUUGAACUCGCUGUGAAGAUGCAGUGUACCCGCGGCAAGACGGAAAGACCCCGUGAACCUUUACUAUAGCUUGACACUGAACAUUGAGCCUUGAUGUGUAGGAUAGGUGGGAGGCUUUGAAGUGUGGACGCCAGUCUGCAUGGAGCCGGCCUUGAAAUACCACCCUUUAAUGUUUGAUGUUCUAACGUUGGCCCCUGAUCGGGGUUGCGGACAGUGUCUGGUGGGUAGUUUGACUGGGGCGGUCUCCUCCUAAAGAGUAACGGAGGAGCACGAAGGUUGGCUAAUCCUGGUCGGACAUCAGGAGGUUAGUGCAAUGGCAUAAGCCAGCUUGACUGCGAGCGUGACGGCGCGAGCAGGUGCGAAAGCAGGUCAUAGUGAUCCGGUGGUUCUGAAUGGAAGGGCCAUCGCUCAACGGAUAAAAGGUACUCCGGGGAUAACAGGCUGAUACCGCCCAAGAGUUCAUAUCGACGGCGGUGUUUGGCACCUCGAUGUCGGCUCAUCACAUCCUGGGGCUGAAGUAGGUCCCAAGGGUAUGGCUGUUCGCCAUUUAAAGUGGUACGCGAGCUGGGUUUAGAACGUCGUGAGACAGUUCGGUCCCUAUCUGCCGUGGGCGCUGGAGAACUGAGGGGGGCUGCUCCUAGUACGAGAGGACCGGAGUGGACGCAUCACUGGUGUUCGGGUUGUCAUGCCAAUGGCACUGCCCGGUAGCUAAAUGCGGAAGAGAUAAGUGCUGAAAGCAUCUAAGCACGAAACUUGCCCCGAGAUGAGUUCUCCCUGACUCCUUGAGAGUCCUGAAGGAACGUUGAAGACGACGACGUUGAUAGGCCGGGUGUGUAAGCGCAGCGAUGCGUUGAGCUAACCGGUACUAAUGAACCGUGAGGCUUAACCUU